UACGGGGGGCGCAAGCGUUGUUCGGAAUUACUGGGCGUAAAGGGCUCGUAGGCGGCCAACUAAGUCGGACGUGAAAUCCCUCAGCUUAACUGGGGAACUGCGUCCGAUACUGGAUGGCUUGAGUUUGGGAGAGGGAUGCGGAAUUCCAGGUGUAGCGGUGAAAUGCGUAGAUAUCUGGAGGAACACCGGUGGCGAAGGCGGCAUCCUGGACCAACACUGACACUGAGGAGCGAAAGCCAGGGGAGCAAACGGG
rnacentral:rRNA from 1 species